rnacentral:rRNA from 1 species
AUACGGAGGGUGCAAGCGUUAAUCGGAAUUACUGGGCGUAAAGAGUACGUAGGUGGUUUAUUAAGUCAGAUGUGAAAGCCCCGGGCUCAACCUGGGAACUGCAUUUGAAACUAGUAAGCUAGAGUAUGGUAGAGGGGGGUAGAAUUUCUAGUGUAGCGGUGAAAUGCGUAGAUAUUAGAAGGAAUACCAGUGGCGAAGGCGGCCCCCUGGACCAAUACUGACACUGAGGUACGAAAGCGUGGGUAGCGAACAGGAUUAGAAACCCCAGUAGUCC